CAUAUUAGAGAAUUGAAAUGCAAAGUCUCAUGGUAAAGCAUGCCUCCCAUUGUGUCAAAGGAAUCAUGGUGUACCUCGUGUAGAUAGAAAAUCAGGUGUCACUUGAGUAUCUGUAUAGCAUGUUUCAUUUAAUUCUUGAAGGGAAGUAUGUAGAGUCACUGCACCAUGAAAACUAUAUCUAUAUAUGUAUAUACACUCGGACUGA
rnacentral:misc_RNA from 1 species